UACAGAGGUCUCAAGCGUUGUUCGGAAUCACUGGGCGUAAAGGGUGCGUAGGUGGCGUGGUAAGUCAGAUGUGAAAGCCCGGGGCUCAACCUCGGAAUUGCAUCCGAUACUACCAUGCUAGAGUACUGAAGAGGUGACUAGAAUUCUCGGUGUAGCAGUGAAAUGCGUAGAUAUCGAGAGGAAUACCAACGGCGAAGGCAGGUCACUGGGCAGUUACUGACACUGAGGCACGAAGGCCAGGGGAGCAAACGGG
rnacentral:rRNA from 2 species